rnacentral:misc_RNA from 1 species
GGAAGUAUAAGUCGUAACAAGGUUUCCGUAGGUGAACCUGCGGAAGGAUCAUUACUGAGUGAGGGCCCCUCGGGGUCCAACCUCCCACCCGUGUUUAACGAACCUUGUUGCUUCGGCGGGCCCGCCUCACGGCCGCCGGGGGGCAUCUGCCCCCGGGCCCGCGCCCGCCGAAGCCACCUGUGAACGCUGUCUGAAGUAUGCAGUCUGAGACAAUUAUUAAAUUAAUUAAAACUUUCAACAACGGAUCUCUUGGUUCCG